UCGCCAAAGUUUAGGGGAGUUUUAUGUGAAAGCAAUGCAGGCAGAGUGUCGUUGUUUUUACCCAAAUUUAGGGUUUUUCAUAAAAUGCCGUCAAUAGAGUACGUGUCGAUUUCGUUAAAGUUUAGGGGGUCUUUUGUAAAAUUGACAUUCACAAAGUCCUAGGGCUCUUUGCAAAAUUGCCAUCCAUGGACUGAGGGUUGAUUUCACCAAAGUUUAGGGGCUUUUUGCAAAAUUUACGUCCCCAACCGUUCCUAGCCGUUGGAUCAGUCGAUCCGACAGGUGAGGUGAUUUGGAGUGACAUGGCCACCCUCCGGUGCAAGGGAAUGCACCAGAAUUAGUAGUAAAGAUUACCGGUUACUGGAAAAUAGGGAGGCACGUACGAGAGAUUGGUUGGAGUGCACAGGAGUAGAGGCUGAAAUACAUAUGUUAUAUAUACUAGCAUAGUGCCCGUACGUUGUUACGGUUAAUAUAAUAUACCUACGUAAUACCAUCAAGUUUGUGUUCAUUCACUUCAUGUACAGGCCAUGCUGUGAUUGUGCGAGAUAUUGAUUGUUCGUGUUCCGAUUGGGAUUCGGAUUGAUUUGUCAAGAUUUCGAUUGGAAUUCGAGUUGAUUUGUCCGAACUCCGAUUAGAAUUCCGAUUGACGGACCAAAGAAACAUUGCUUGCUUUAGAACUAGUAGUGGUUUGGCUUUCAUAGUAAUGCUAGGUACCCACUUAUCUUUACUUUCAUGAAAAUGUAAAGAUAAAAUGUAACUUUAUAUCAUCUUCAUCCAUCACGCAGAAAACCAUGCAAACAUUUACCGUAGUGAGACUAUGAUUAUUUAUUACCCUUUAUUUGUGCAAAAAAAUAUAUAAAUAUAUAAAUAUAACAUAAAAUGUAUCAUAUAUUAUUAUAUUUAUAUUAGUUUUGGCCGUAGUAAUGCACGGGCAUGCUUGCUAGUCAACAAAAUUUAUAAAUACUUCCACCAAAGUUGAUAUUCCAUAUUUCCCAACCUAGAUUCCAAUCGAGGCCCCAAAUGAAGCUGCACAAUUGGCUGCAAAAUAAUGAGUGCAAGGGUUUCAAAGGUUGAAGCUCAAGUUUGGGGAAAACUUGAACUCGGAUAUACAAGUUCUGAAGGCUAUGUGUCGUCCAUCCAGACUGCUCAUUUAUCUUGGAUGCAAUACAUAGCUGAUCGAGCAAUUGAAGCUCUCGAGAGAUUAAACGACCUUCGUACAACAAAUUAAAGCUCAAACUGUGUUUCUUGUUCAUAUGACUCAUACGAAUUCUCUUGACAGCCUUUGCAUCUCUGUACAAGUUUACAAGCGCCCGUGGACAUGGUGGUUUCCUUUACUUGGACAACAAUGAAUCGGUAAGUCAAAUUAUCCCUGUUGCUUACUACCCUGUGCUUUCCUAUAACAGUAUUGUAUUCUUAUGUUCUUCCCCAUGUCAAAGUACUGUUCAUUGCCUGAACUAACAAUAUAGCCACCUGCAAAUAAUGUUUCGAGCUACCGUAGAUUCCAAAAUUCUUUAUCAUAUACAGUGACAAAUGUUGAUUGUAAAGCUCCAAAAUAGUAAUGCUUCUAAAUUUGUCUUAUUUUUUUCUUUUUCCCUAGCAUACUUUCGGAUAUUUGUGUUCCAAAAUAGCUGCAAUCACAAUUAAAGAAAUACGACAAGAUUUCAUUCGUUUAAUCAUAGCAAUCAUCCUCACCACAUUUCCCGCUAUUUUGAAAACACAUGAUCAACUAUACAUCAACCCACCUCCCUCCCAUACUGAUUGACCCUCAACUAUUCCAUGGCCAUAUCUCUACUCAGAAAAUACCAUUUAGAAAGAAAAUGGAACAACUUCUGCGUAAUAUCUCAUACAGAUUAUUAGCCACUCUUAUCUCACCCACAACAGUAUGGACCAUUGUAGUUAGGCUAUGUCUACCGAGCUUGAGAGGUUCUUUAGUUUCAGAGCCCAAAAUUCUUUUCUACGGUAGCUAUUAAUGCUACAUGCACUAUAUUGUGCUGAAGUGGUUUAUAAAGCUUGGAAUGCCGCCAUACAACUUCUAAAAAAAAUGCUUCUUUCAAUUCAAUUCAAGGAAGGAUGUGCUCCCAGUCUUCAUUGCCAAAAAAGAGUAAAUCAUGUGACUUCCUAGAGCACUACUAAAUAAACCUUAAUACAGGUAAGCAUCAAUCUUAUUUCUAUAUGUUAUAUUUUAAAAUUUAAAUGUCCUGCAGGAAACCAUGUGCAAGAAAUGUUUUAUGGAAGCAGUUAGAGACUCCAAAAACAUCGGAAUCCAAUUUUUCAGUUAGCAAUAAAAUGUUCAGGUGUAUCAUCUUUGUGACUAUAUGCAGUUCUGCAUUUGAAUUUCCAGAAAAAAACUGAGAUGUUAGCUUUAGCACCAUUGUACAUACAUGUACCUAUGUAUUUAGGUGCCUAUUACAAAAAUAAAUAAUAUUUUUGUACAUUCAAUAUUCAAAUACAAAUAUAUGCUUUCUAUGUUUA